UUGAAGGGAGGUGAUGGUAUAGUGGUUAUGUGUUGGGCUUGAAACCAGAGGAUCCAUGGUUCAAAUCCCAGCCUGACAGGAAAAUCGCUAAGGGCCAUUGGGCAAGGUCCUUAAUCCCCUAGUUGCUCCCCCGCCGGUUUUCACUGUGUG